UUUAUUUUUAGCCUUGUGAUGAUGAUAGUAUAUCUUCGAGUGGUGCCGCUUGUUUGUUUUUUGCCGAGACCCAUCAUCUCCA
rnacentral:snoRNA from 8 species